ACCGUCUCCUUUAGCCAGUUAACAAAUAGGAUAAUAGAUGGACAAAAUAGGGAUAAUAAAUGGAGGAGAGAGGUAUAAAAGAUGGACAUCAGGCGGCCAGCAUAGGCCUAGUCAGCUCCAAACCAACAAACGUGCAGGGCUAGGGCAAAGGCUAAACCGAGACAUUCAUGAAGAUAUCUUAAUUAGGGUUAGGGAUGAAUACCCCCAUAUUGUCAACUACUAUCUUUCGUGUUCUAUCAACACGGUUCAUUCCAACUCCUCACUUUAACUGAUGCAGUUAACUUCUUUGAGUACUACCUUGGUUUAAUAAAUAUUAACAAGAACAACAAUGAUAUCAAAACAGAUUCAGGGAUAAGAGACAGCAGCCCUUCAAAGGAGAAACAAACCCCCUGAACACAUCUUCGAACAAGGCUUUGAGUUUUUUCAUUAUGGGAAAGGCUGCUGGCUUCCCUGCAAGACAGACGGGUAGAACCAGACUAGCAGGCUCCCUAAACACCCAUUCAAUUCUGUUUCAAUAAGCAGAGGACAGGUGUGUCCUGUCAACGUUCAAUCAACAGGGCAUCAGGUAGCAAUGUCAAACAAUGACAGCGGUGUAUAACCUAUAGAGGGAGCCAUCGAAUGCAAAGCAAUCUACAAUCUGUGUUUUUUUCAUCCUUUAAAUGGAUAUGUGUUUUGUUCCCACUUCCCAGGCAGACCGCGCUGUGAGGCUGCAGGUGUGUCUGGAGAUGCUGGGCGUGGAGGAAGAGACGCUGGAGGGAGUUCCGGCUCCCCUGCGCCUCCCAGUGGCUGUGACCCGCUACUGGCUGAGGAGGGCCAGCCCUGAGCCGAGGCUCGUCGAAGCUCUGCUGAUGGUCAUGGUCCAAGGAGAACUGAUGAGACAAAAUAAAGAAACAACAGGUCGGUAGCACAUGAUGUAACUUUAAUCACUCACUCAUUCACUUACUAACUCCUCCUUACCUGUGUGAGUGUUUGUGUGUGUAUGCCUGUUUGUAUGUCUGUGUGUGGUGUGUGUAGAUGGGCAGCAUUAUACCAAACACAGUGAACAGCUUCCAGAUGGUGUCGUGGCUCACAGCUUCAACCAAUGGCAGGCCUGCCUGAAGGACGCCUCCCAGCUUAACCUGCUGCUCUGCAAGCCCCUCCCUGAACCCCACUACGCCUGGUUGUACCAGGGCAGGCUGGUGCAUCACCGGCAGAAGCAGCUCAAGUGGAGGAAACCAGAGGACAUCGUACAGGACGACCAGUUCAGGGGACUGUACAGGAGGCUCCUGG